rnacentral:rRNA from 1 species
GACGAACGCUGGCGGCGUGCCUAACACAUGCAAGUCGAACGAGGUCCAUGGAGUGGCAACACUCCGGAAGACCUAGUGGCGAACGGGUGAGUAACACGUGAAGAACUUGCCCCGGAGACCGGGAUAACCCUCCGAAAGGAGAGCUAAUACCGGAUGUCCUCGCUGAGUCGCAUGGCUCGGCGAAGAAAUGGAUUCCGCUCCGGGAGAGCUUCGCGGCCUAUCAGCUUGUUGGCGGGGUAACGGCCCACCAAGGCAUCGACGGGUAGCUGGUCUGAGAGGACGAUCAGCCACACUGGGACUGAGACACGGCCCAGACUCCUACGGGAGGCAGCAGUGGGGAAUCUUGCGCAAUGGGCGAAAGCCUGACGCAGCAACGCCGCGUGCGGGAUGAAGGCCCUCGGGUUGUAAACCGCUUUCAGUGGGGACGAACCAAGACGGUACCCACAGAAGAAGCCCCGGCCAACUACGUGCCAGCAGCCGCCGCGAUAA